rnacentral:RNase_P_RNA from 1 species
AGAUGCAGCAAGGCGGCUGCUCAUGUAUGAAUCUCAUCCAUGGGAGGAAAGUCCGAGCACGACAGGACACGGCGGUGGGUAACACCCACCCGUCUCAACAGCAGACCGAUCUUUGAUCGGACCUGACGGCUGGAGACGAGGGAAAGUGCCACAGAAAGCAAACCCCCGAUGGCCCAGUUGAUCGCAAGAGCAGCUGAGCACAGGGAAGGGUGAAAGGGUGCGGUAAGAGCGCACCGCUCGGUUGGUGACAAUCGGGGCACGGUAAACCCCGCCGCGUGCAAGCCCAAGCAGAUCCUCACACUCCGGUGUAUCCCCUGUCCGGGGACCGCAGGAUCGGGUAGGGUGCUGGGAGCAUCAGCUCCUCAUCGUCGUGGUAACACGGCGGGCAGAGAAAUAGUCGCCCAGCUGGGCAAGUCCGGUCGAGCCCCCGUCAAAUGGAGGAUCGGAAACUGCCCAGCGGACAGAACUCGGCUUACCAGCUGCAUCCAGCC